rnacentral:rRNA from 1 species
UAGCCGUAAACGAUACUCGCUAGGUGUCAGGGACGGUGCGACCGUUUCUGGUGCCGCAGGGAAGCCGUGAAGCGAGCCACCUGGGAAGUACGGUCGCAAGGCUGAAACUUAAAGGAAUUGGCGGGGGAGCACUACAACGGGUGGAGCCUGCGGUUUAAUUGGACUCAACGCCGGAAAUCUUACCGGGACCGACAGCAACAUGAAGGCCAAGCUGAAGACUUUGCCGGAUUAGCUGAGAGGAGGUGCAUGGCGUAGUCGUGU